rnacentral:rRNA from 1 species
AGCAACGCCGCGUGGGUGAAGAAGGUCUUCGGAUCGUAAAACCCUGUUGUUAGAGAAGAAAGUGCGUGAGAGUAACUGUUCACGUUUCGACGGUAUCUAACCAGAAAGCCACGGCUAACUACGUGCCAGCAGCCGCGGUAAUACGUAGGUGGCAAGCGUUAUCCGGAUUUAUUGGGCGUAAAGGGAACGCAGGCGGUCUUUUAAGUCUGAUGUGAAAGCCUUCGGCUUAACCGGAGUAGUGCAUUGGAAACUGGGAGACUUGAGUGCAGAAGAGGAGAGUGGAACUCCAUGUGUAGCGGUGAAAUGCGUAGAUAUAUGGAAGAACACCAGUGGCGAAAGCGGCUCUCUGGUCUGUAACUGACGCUGAGGUUCGAAAGCGUGGGUAGCAAACAGGAUUAGAUACCCUGGUAGUCC